rnacentral:rRNA from 1 species
UACGUAGGGCGCAAGCGUUGUCCGGAAUUAUUGGGCGUAAAGGGCGCGUAGGCGGUCCAGCAAGUCGGGGGUGAAAGCCCUCGGCUUAACCGAGGAAGUGCAUUCGAAACUACUGGACUUGAGUACUGAAGAGGAUCGCGGAAUUCCCGGUGUAGAGGUGAAAUUCGUAGAUAUCGGGAGGAACACCAGUGGCGAAGGCGGCGAUCUGGGCAGAUACUGACGCUGAGGUGCGAAAGCGUGGGGAGCAAACAGG